GCCUUCAUAGUAUAGUGGUCAGCACCCUGGACGCUUAUUCCAGAGACUCGUGGUUCGAUUCCCGGUGAAGGCG
rnacentral:tRNA from 1 species